GAAAAAAUAUUUAUGUACUCACAUUAUCUUCAGUACAGGCUGUCCGUGCCCAACGUUUUAAACAGGAUAGUACCGUUUUUUCGACAUUUCCCUGCUGUCUCAUCGAUAUGAUUUAAAUGACAAAUUUUCCCUUUUUUAGUGAAGCUAUAGAUAUACUUUUACUAGUUCAACAGAGCAUCAGAAACUAUUUUGUCUGUCAUCCUGAACCUAGGCAUAUAUGGUUCUCUUCGCUAGAAUGAGGUUCAGUUCCAUGCGGCUUUCACGCUAGGGCCGGAAGUCAUCCUGGCGGUGUAAAGGCCCACGUGUAAUUUGGGUUUGAGAUCUAUCUUUUAAGGAACACCUUAUAACAAAUUCACUUGAAUGAGCAACUGCUGAAGUUAUUGAAACUACUUUCAUAUAGGGUUCCAGUAUAUCACACGUCUUUCAAAGGACACUGUUGCUACACUGCUGUGCACCCCUUCUAUAAUACAAAAUUAUGGACUAAAAGAAUUAGUCACUCAUCACGCAGUCUGGAUUCUCAGUAACAGAUCUACAGUCCGAUUUUGCCUGGCUCUCAAGACAGAAACUCUUUAGCAAAAUGCGGCGCAAAAUCCUAUAUUUCCCUCUUUAUAAUUUUCUGUCUGGUUGCUUACAUAGAUCUAUGCCUAUGCAUUUAAAAAUUAAUUGUGUGUUCCUAAUUAAAAUUAUUCUUUUCAUGAAAAAAAAA